AUUGAACGCUGGCGGCAGGCCUAACACAUGCAAGUCGAACGCGUGGCGGAAGGGUGAGUAAUGUCUGGGAAAGUGCCUGAUGGAGGGGGAUAACUACUGGACACGGUAGCUAAUACCGCAUACCAUCAGAUGUGCCCAGAUGGGAAUAGCUUGUUGGGGGGGUAAAGGCUCCCCAAGGCGACGAUCUCUAUCUGGUCUGAGAGGAUGACCAGCCAGACUGGAACUGAGAAACGGUCCAGACUCCUACGGGAGGCAGCAGUGGGGAAUAGUGGACAAUGGGAGAAAGCCUGAUGCAGCCAUGCCGCGUGUAUGAAGAAGGCCUGCGGGUUGUAAAGUACUUUAAGCGGGGAGGCGUUACCCGCAGAAGAAGCACCGGCUAACUCCGUGCCAGCAGCCGCGGUAAUAC
rnacentral:rRNA from 1 species